rnacentral:rRNA from 1 species
GUCUACGGCCAUGCCUCCCUGAACAAGCCCGAUCCCGUCUGAUCUCAGAAGCUAAGCAGGGUCGUUCCUGGUUAGUACUUGGGUGGGAGCCCACGUAGGAAGACCAGGUGCGGUAGGUG